AUUGAACGCUGGCGGCAGGCCUAACACAUGCAAGUCGAGCGGAGCGGCGGACGGGUGCGUAAUGCCUAGGAAUCUGCCUGGUAGUGGGGGAUAACGUCCGGAAACGGGCGCUAAUACCGCAUACUAUCAGAUGAGCCUAGGUCUGAUUAGCGAGUGGGUGGGGUAAAGGCCUACCAAGGCGACGAUCCGUAACUGGUCUGAGAGGAUGCUCAGUCACACUGGGAUUGAGACACGGUCCAGACUCCUACGUGAGGCAGCAGUGGUGAAUAUUGGACGAUGGGCGAAAGCCGGAUCCAGCCAUGCCGCGUGUGUGAAGAAGGUCUUCGGAUUGUAAAGUACUUUAAGUUGGGAGGCGUUACCAACAGAAUAAGCACCGGCUAACUUCGUGCCAGCAGCCGCGGUAAUUC
rnacentral:rRNA from 1 species